rnacentral:lncRNA from 1 species
CUUCAACAUAUCCCUUGAAAGAAACUUCUGUGUAUUUGAUUCCAUUGUAGCAUUUAUCACUCUGUAUUGUAGUUAUUUUCUGACUCUAUAAUUUUAAAGGUCGGGGAAUCCUUCCCCCAACCCCCCUUUUCCCCCUAAUGCCUUACGUAGUAGCUGGCAAGUUGCAUUGAAUGACUGUUAAUAAUCUCAAUUAUUUGUGUAUGUUUGAAUUACCUAUUUGUAGGUAGUUUGUAUACCAGUAUUCCUAUGGUAAUGGUCCACUGUCUGAAGCACAGCUAGCAAGAGGUAAUCAUUAGUUUGUAAAUAUAUAAAAGAAUAAGUUUGCCUAUAUUAAACAAUUGACUGUUUUGGGUCCUUGGACAUGGAGUAGUAGAAAUACAGCAAAAGGGGCACUAGAAGAAAGGCUAAAUUUUGAAGGGUUGAAAUGGGGGAAAUUGUAGGACACUAGGAUGAUGAAGACCUUAUAUUACCCAUACAUCAAUGAAAAACAGCCUGAGUAUCUUUUAAGUGCUUAAAUUUGCCCAGCUGAACAGCACCCCGCACACUACCAUCAUUCCUUCUUUUACAACGCCUUUGAAAUAAUUUUAUACAGUAGACAUAGGUGGCAGUACCUCUAAAAAAAA